CAUAAUUUACUAUUUUCAAUGAAUUGGGACAGGAAGCUCAAAGCAGGGUUCUUCAGCAAUGACUUCAGAGAAGUCAGCUGAAGACAGUGGCUGAGGAAAAGGCUGGCGCAUGCCCAAGGAAAUCACAACCCCCAGAUGAAGUCAUGAAGUCAAGCAGAGCUGCUGUGCAAAGGAAGAGUAACUAUGUAUAAAGGCCUGGGAACAAUCAAAUGAAAAACCCUGUGUGUCAUGCAGAUCCGAGGAAGCCAUAGAGUUUGGCGAGGCGUACUAGAGGGGCUACCUAUUGCACCUCCCGGGUGGUUCGGGCUUAAGGUUAGCCAGGCUGAGGCUAUGGGAGCUGCAGGUGGAUACACAACCUUGGAUCUGGUGUAGCUCUCCUUAGCCCAGAGACUUUUAAGUUAAACAAACGCCCAAGAUACCUUUCUUUCACUAGAAUAUCAGCCGAUUAACAAAAAUGGUCCCAAAGCUCCGUGACACUGGACCCAUUUUUAGGGCUAGAGAUAGUCUUCUUAAUCACUUUCUUCCCGCUCUUUAGCUCUGGGAUGUCCUUUUUCUCCUGAAAAUUCAUAUUCUGCCAGGUCCUUUAAAAAAAAAAAUCGUUCCAACUCUCAUCUGAAGCUCCGGCUGCCUUGGCUGCCAGUUUAGCAUUUGUCUCUGACCUUUCUGCUUCCUCGAAGGAGAGGGCAGACAGCGAUGCAAGUGUCUUGCAAUGACAGCGCUACUGCAGAAAAUACUUUAUGGACUGAGAGGUACUUAAACCUUACCCUCUAGUUACUUUUCCGUCUUGAAGAGUCUUACAAAAUUUGUUCAGUGUUGAGAAUAAAUUGUGGUGGUGGUAGUUAUAGCCGGACCGUUCAAAAAGAGACUAGGACGAGCUGUUUUUUAAUUUGAAAUUUGCACAGACCCGGCCGAGGGCACGCACUCACUACAAGUCUAGAGAGACUGCCCCGACCGUUAAAGACAGGUUUAUAAAGGGGAAAACUACUGGUUCCAUACUUCCAUUAACGUGGUCGCUGUUGGCAAGCAUGACAGGAUAUGAACUUUUAACAAAAAUGAGGUAUAGCACCAUGGCUUCUCUGCUUGAUCGAGGAGCAGAAAACCUUCAGGUUACAGAAGCAGGACGAUGCAGGCGGCAGGCAAGGUUGGCUUUCACCUUCUGGAGGCUGAAAGGAUAACUGGGAACAGAAUCAGUGAAGCCAGGGACUAUGGGUACAAGUCUCCCAAAACUGACCUUACCUUUAAGAUAUGAGUCUGCCACAGGGAUCGAUAGAGCCGUGGGAAGAAUGGAAGAGCCAGAGGACGGGGAUGAGCGCUGUGAAAUGCUUUCUUCGGGACAGGAUACGUUGACUGCACUCAUGAGCUCUCUGCAGCUGUGACUCCCUGCACAAAUUCAAGUCAUCAUUCCAACAGGCUUCCAGUAGAAGGCAGGCCCAGCUUAGAUCUGGAUUAAAGAUCUGAACUAAAGGUGUGUCUUGCUACCUCAAGGAUCUGAAUGAGAGGUCUCAUGGCCUUAGCUGGUAUUUAUAAUCACCUUCUACUACUCAUUCUGUAUAUGCUCCACCUCAAGCACUUCAGCAGCGUUUUGGCUCUUUGCCUGGAGAAGUGAUUCACACCUUCAUUCCUGGGAAAAACGAAAGACCCCGAGAGGAGCCCCUCGCUCGAGCCUCAGGAUAAUAGCAACCUGCCAGAGGCUCCAAAUAGCAUCUUUAUCUGCCACUGAUACCUCAAGUACCACUGGGUCUCCUGGAUCAUAUGGUGCUAGUGGUAGAGCAGCUCGUACAACAGUCUGGAUCUCUUGAAAAGCCUCCUGUGCCAGGUCUGACUCGUCUUUCUGGGUCAGUGGUAAACGGGCCGGAGUAACACACCGAAGGGAGGAAAGCUGUGUCUCCAGAAUCCAAAUGGACCUACUAAACAUUGUACUUCCUUCUUGGUGGCAGGAGGGACCAGAUGCAAAAACUUAUCCUUCACCUUGGAAGGAAUAUCUCUAUAUGCCUAUACUACUGAACUCUUAAGGAUUUUAAUGAGGUAGAUGGCCCUUGAAUUUUUGGCUGGAUUUGUUUCCUCUGAUGCACGUAUGUGUUACCAAAAAGUCCAAAGUGGUGUCUACCUACUGCUCUCUUGGUCCAAUCAGCAUAAUAUCAACAAUAUGACGCCACCAGUAUGAUAUUUUGUGGAAGAGACUGAUAAUCGUGAUCCCUUCUGGCUAAGUUGUGACUCAUAUCUGGAAAGUUAAUAUAUUCUUGAGUCAAAACUGGAAAGGUACUACUGCUGGCCUUGCUAACUGAAAGCAAAUUGUUCCUUGUGGUCUUUUAAGUAGAUGUAGAGAAAAGGGCAUUAGUUAGAUCAAUAGCUGCAUACCAUGUACCAGGAGAUGUGUUAAUUUGCUCAAGUAGGGACACCACAUCGGGUACUGCAGCUGCAAUCAGAGUCCCUAUUUGAUUGACUCUUUCAUAGUCAACUGUUAUUCUCCAUGAUCCACCUGUCUUCUGUACUGGCUAGAUAGAAGGGCUAAAAGGAGAUGUGGUGGGAACCCCCACCCCAGCAUCUUUCUAGUCCUUGAUGGUGGCACUAAUUUCUGGAAUUCCUCCAGGGAUGCAAUACUGGUUUGGGGUUACUAUUUUCCCUGGCAGAGGCAACUCUAAAGGCUUCCAUUUAUCCUUUCUAACAAUAAUAGCCCUCACCCACAUAUGAGGGGACCAGUGUGAGAAUUCUGCCAACUUUUAAGUCUAUCUAUCCCAGCUAUACAUUCUGGAACUAAGUUGUGGAAAUAACCACAGAAUGAGUUCAAGAACCCAUUUGGACCUACUGUGAGUUGGAGUUCAGCCAAAACUCUCUUAGUCACCUGAUCUCCAUAAGCCCCUACUUUAACUGGAGGGCCACAAUAUGUUUUAGUAUCUCCCAGAAUCCGUGUUAAUUAAGAACUGGUAUCCAAUAGACCUCAGAAAUUCUGAUUGUUUACUUUCCCCAGUAUAUAGAAAGUUACCCUCUAGCCAGUGCCUAUGAGUCAUGCCACCAUAAAGUUCACUUGGACUGUGCUCCAGACCGAAAGGGCAAUAACAAAGCUUUCCAAAUGUGCCAGUGCCCCUCUCACCAUUUUGUGUUGAGGGGCAUAUCAUCUGGCCCUUCCCAUUGCAGAGGAUUAGGCUUUAAGCAGCAUACCCACUCUGGCAUUGCACUUUCCCUGAGCCUUAAAAAUCCCCUCAUCAAUGAUAAGCCAUAGGACACCAGGCAUCUCCAGCUCCUUUUCAGAGGGCUGUAUUUUCAGAAGUGCUUCAGCCAACCAUUCAAACAAACUUUUGGCACAUUUUUUUUUAAUUGUGGGAGAUUCCAUAUGAAACCUAGAGUCUCCAAUCAGAGGGCGCACAUCAUUAACUCAGGCUGGUCUAGUUUUAUGUUUCCUACACCAUUAUUUUACACUCUUAAAAUCCAUUCCCACAUGUGUUCUCCAGACUUCUGCUUGAAUGAGGUACUCAGUAAGCUCCUUACUAAUGUAGUGCACCUCCUUAUGUACCACACUUUCUACCUCCCCUCUAGGAGCCUGCUCUGCCUUGAGUCUGGUUAUAGGUUUAGAUGCAACUAUUGAUGAGCCCCAAGGGACAUAAGGAUUGUCUUGCCCAGCAUUUCCUUCAGGGAAAAUCAUUUCUGGUUUAGCAGACAAUGAAGGAUUAAUUUCCUCAAAGGUGAAAAAGGCAAUAUUUCCAGGGAUGGAGAUGAUAGUAGAGAGACUGCUCCCUCGGGUCAUAUAAACCCUUGAGAAUUUGAGGGCUCAAAGUUCUCAGCUUCAAUAGAGUCCUCCCACACAUGCCUAUCUGUACCGGUUGGUUAUGUGUGUCAACUUGACACAAGCUGGAGUUAUCACAGAGAAAGGAGCCUCACUGGAGGACAAUGCCUCCAUGACACCCAGCUAUAAGGCAUUGUCUCAAUUAGUGAUCAUGGGUGGGAGGGCCCAUUGUGGGUGGUGCCAUCUCUGGGCAGGUAGUCCUGGAUUCUAUAAAAAAGCAAACUGAGCAAGCCAGUAGCAUCCCUCCAUGGCCUCUGCAUCAGCUCCUGCUUCCUGACCUGCUUGAGUUCCAGUCCUGACUUUGGUGAUGUAGUAAUGUGUAAGUGUAAGCUGAAUAAACCCUUUUCCUGCCCAACACUUGAGAUUCUUCUCACCCGUGUGGAUGGCCAUAUGAGACUCCAGGUACUGCCUGGUAGCAUACAACUGUAACAAAAACAAAUUCAAGAAGAGGA
rnacentral:lncRNA from 1 species